UUGAACGCUGGCGGCAUGCCUUACACAUGCAAGUCGAACGGUAGAGGGGCAACCCUUGAGAGUGGCGAACGGGUGAGUAAUAUAUCGGGACGUGCCCAGUCGUGGGGGAUAACGCAGCGAAAGCUGCGCUAAUACCGCAUACGAUCUAUGGAUGAAAGCGGGGGAUCGCAAGACCUCGCGCGAUUGGAGCGGCCGAUAUCAGAUUAGGUAGUUGGUGGGGUAAAAGCCCACCAAGCCGACGAUCUGUAGCUG
rnacentral:rRNA from 1 species